rnacentral:rRNA from 1 species
GAUGAACGCUGGCGGCGUGCCUAAUACAUGCAAGUCGAACGCAUUGAGAGAUGUGCUUGCACUUUUCAAUUUGAGUGGCGAACGGGUGAGUAACACGUGGGCAACCUACCUGAUAGCGGGGGAUAACGAGUGGAAACAUUCGCUAAUACCGCAUAACAAUAGAGAAGGCAUCUUCUUUAUUUAAAAGGCGCUUUCAAGCGUCACUAUCAGAUGGGCCCGCGGUGCAUUAGUUAGUUGGUGGGGUGAAGGCCUACCAAGACGAUGAUGCAUAGCCGAGUUGAGAGACUGAUCGGCCACAUUGGGACUGAGACACGGCCCAAACGCCUACGGGAGGCUGCAGUAGGGAAUCUUCCACAAUGGACGAAAGUCUGAUGGGGCAACGCCGCGUGUGUGAUGAAGGCUUUCGGGUCGUAAAGCACUGUUGUAUGGGAAGAAAUGCUAGGCUAGGAAAUGAGCUUAGUUUGACGGUACCAUACCAGAAAGGGACGGCUAAAUACGUGCCAGCCGCCGCAGUAA